CACGAUUACCUAACCUUCCCUAGAUCCCCACAGCUUGUGUACUGCCGUCGUAAGCAAACCUCUAAAAGAAUUAAAGUAUGCAAUCAUGACUCACUCAUCUACGUCAGGUCAAAGUGCAGCCCAUGGGAAGGUGAUGAUGGGUUACACCCUAAAUAAAGAUACAGAAGGGGUGCUAAAAGCCCUAUAAAGGUGGACUUGGUUGUAACUAUAGUUCAAAACUACAGUGAAAAUGAAUCUAAGACAUGCACACAUCGCCCGUCACUCUCGCCCUAAGGCGAGAUAAGUCGUAACAAAGUAGGUGUAACGGAAGUUGCACCUGU
rnacentral:rRNA from 1 species